rnacentral:rRNA from 1 species
CUGCUGCCUCCCGUAGGAGUCUGGUCCGUGUCUCAGUACCAGUGUGGGGGACCUUCCUCUCAGAACCCCUACGCAUCGUCGGUUAGGUGGGCCGUUACCCCGCCUACUGCCUAAUGCGCCGCAUGCCCAUCCCUGUCCGGCCGAAGCCUUUCCUGCCUCCGGGAUGCCCCGGUGGCAUGUACGCGGGUUUAGCCCCGCCUUUCGGCGGGUUGUCCCCCUGACAGGGGCAGGUUGCAUACGUGUUACUCACCCGUACGCCGGUCGCCGGCGGAGAAAGCAAG